rnacentral:lncRNA from 1 species
UGAAUAAGUGAGCAAAAGUAAUCGAAUAUCAACUUCAAAUAUUAUUCAGUAAUGAAUAUCACACAAUAAGUUCUGAAUAACUAUUAUUCAGUUAUGAAUAAGUGAGUAAAAGUAAUUGAAUAUCUACUUCAACACUAUGAAUAGUUGUUCAACUCAUUCUGAAGCCACAAAUUCUGUUUGCAUAUCCCUUUUUCAGACGAGCACCCAUCCCACCUUAAAACCUUUCACUAAACCAGUCAUCUUGUCUUGCUCGUGGAAUCAGACUCUUCCAUACACCAAAUGCAGCCUAAUCAAUAAAUCACAAAUCAAAAAAAAUACAGAAUUCAACUUCAGAAAACACAAAAUUAAUAAAUUUGUACGAAAUAAGAAGCCACUACUACAAUACUACCAAAAACAAAAACAAAAAAUAAUACUAGUAAGUUUGAACACCAACUAACCACAAAAAAUAUAAAAUCAAGCUCCAAUCGAUCAAGAGAAAGAGAAAGAAAACCAGAAGUUCAUUAAUCUACAACGCGUCGGAACGGGGCCAAGACCUUAAUCGGAGAAACUCUUCCUCUUCGGAGAGAUACCAAUCGCCAAAGAAAAAAUUGUGAAUAUUAGAAAAAUCGAAGGUGGUGUGCCGAGGUGGCUGGCGGCGGCCAUCUUAGCCGGGGUAGAAGGGCGGCGACGCCCUGUUCGUGUGUGUGUCUGUGUUCGUAUGAGUGUGUGUGAUUGUGUGUGUUGGUGUGUGUACAGAGUCGUGAAUGAAUGAAAAAAUGGUGGGUGGGUGAAUAAAAGCCUAUAAUUAUGGGAGUAAAUCUAGGAAUUGUAGUUUUUAAAUAAAU